UACGACUACAUAUCAGGCAUAUCAAUAAGCGGAGGAAAAGAAACUAACUAGGAUUCCCCUAGUAACGGCGAGUGAAGCGGGAAGAGCUCAAAUUUGAAAUCUUAAAGGUUUUCCCCUUGACGAAUUGUCAGUUUAAAGAAGUGUUUUCUGUUGGAAUUUUCGGUAAAAGUUCUUUGGAAAUAGGACAGUCAUAAGAGGGUGAGAAUCCCGUAUUUGACCAUUAUUUCAGCUUUGUGAUACACUUUCAAAGAGUCGGAUUGUUUGGGAAUGCAGUCCAAAAUGGGUGGUAAAUUUCAUCUAAAGCUAAAUACUUGGCGAGAGACCGAUAGCGAACAAGUACCGUGAGGGAAAGAUGAAAAGAACUUUGAAAAGAGAGUUAAACAGUACGUGAAAUUGUCAAAAGGGAAGCGUUUGACACCAGUGUUGUUUUCUCGAAAAUCAAUUAAAAAUGGCUUGAUUUUGUGUUGUAUUGACCUUAAAAGCUUUCCUCACUUUUUUCAUGUCUUUUUUAAUGCACUUUUCGUUUAACAAGUCAACAUCAGUUUCUUUUGUUGUGAAAAAGGUCAUUGGAAGGUGGCUUUCUUUUCGGAGGAAGUGUUUAUAGCCUUUGACUCCUGCAAUCGGAGAGACUGAGGUCUGCAGCGUAGAUCCUUUGGAUUAGAUUCAUUUGUGCUAAGUUAUAGCUUUUUAUAGACAACAUGUUGACUAUAUUUAGUCUUGUAACUUACUCGCUUAUGUAAUUUUACCUACGCUUAGGAUGUUGACGCGCGUGUGUGCGUG
rnacentral:rRNA from 1 species